UCAUGUGAACAGUAAGAGAGUCUCGAUGUAGCUGUUAUACUUACAACUCAGACUGGCUGUUUUCCCUUACACUUCACUUGGUAGCUGCUGUUUCUAUUCCAGACCUGGAGAAGGACACAUGGACCACAAAAAUUUCCACCACUGUAUCAGCUGUGCAUUUUCGACUAAUAAAAACCUAUUUCAGCCUUACUUCUUCUUAUUAUAACUUGCUUGUUUGAGAAGGGCUGCCUCUUGUCAGCCAGCCAGCCAGCCACCUUGUACAGUGUGAUAAUCUUUCAGCCAAAGGUAUUCACAGGUUUGCUGCAGAGAAGACUAGGAAACAGUUCAACUGGUCUAAAGGAACAUUUCAACCAGACUGCUGAAGAGGGCUAAGAGAGGAGACAGAUGUGCAGCAUGAGCAAAACAUACAGGGUUGUGACAAUAACACAGGUGAGAUGAUUCAGACGUGUCUGCCUGGUGACUUGGGAAUGCAGAGCUGCUCUACCACUGCAGUACUUGACCACAGCAAGAAGCCACAAGAGAUUUUUGUCAGCUCGUGCCACACAGCACAGGAAUCCCACAGAGUUCCUUCUGAACAGCACCAGCACCUGGGAUGUGUGUAGCAGGAGUCUGUACUUGGACCAGCUACACUCUGCUUCUGUGACAGAGUAACUGAGAACUGAUCAAAUUCAAACAUGCCUGCAGGAAGAGCAGGCAUCGGUACCUUGCUCAUCAAAUCCACAUCAAUUAAACAAAACAGAACCAUCAAGGAGAUGGUCCAACACACCUUUGUAAUUUCACUAUUGUCUUUCUCCCAAAUUUCAACUUCCUACUGUGAACCUUCACAAUCAUCUUUAUGAGUGGGUGGCGAAACUUGCCUUUGUAGCUAGUUUUUGUUCUGGAAAGCAUUUGAACUUUGGGGUAUAUUCCCUAAUUGGCUGCAGGCAGAGAAAGAUCAUGGACGAUUUCAGCCCUUAAAAGUUAAGUUCUGACAAAGUUACAAGCAACUGGAAAUGGUACCCUCUCCUUAGAUAUGGACAAGCCUGACACCUCCAACAGCAAGGCCCAGAAAUUAUGAACACCAAGAAAAUUCAGCUAUGUGCAGGUCAUGUGUUCAUAAGAUCAGCCAUGUAAGCAUUGCUAUAAUUAACAGUAAGCAUAUUACCCGUUACAAAACAAGAUAUGUUGCUGCUGAUCGUAUGUGCAGAAGAAACCUAUGGAAGCUGCAGUACCUGUAUGGAACCCAAGAGAGCUUGUGGAUACAAAGACUAAGAAGCUGCUAUAGUGACAGCUCCAACAAGGCAGCACUGGUUGUUUCAAGAUUAUAGAGCACUCUGGACACCCACGCCAGCUUUGAAGAUGCACCAAGAAGUGCGUGUACUGCUUUGGGAUAAUUUCACACUGGAAGGCUAGUGCAGGGAUGCUGGAGAGAACUGCAGAACCUGGUAGAAACCCAGAUGCACGUUCUGGACAGCAGCCAUGACUUCCUUCUGGAGAAAGGUCUUAAAAUCUAAGUCUCUGCCAUCCAGUGACCCAAGAAUUGUAGGGAUCUAUCCUCAAGUCACAGGGCUUAGCAGCUACUGUAUUAUACCUAGAUUUGUCUUGUGCUACAAACUAAGAGAGACAUGACAGUAAUGGAGAGCUAGUAGUUUUUCAGCUAAUCCCUUGUCCCUCGCCAUUCCAAAGCUAAUUUGUCCCUUCUCAUACUGUGACCGUGCAAUUAAAUUAUUUGAAUAUAUUCCAUGUUUUCAAAUGCAGGUAGCUUUUGUUUUUCCUCAGCCCAAAGGGGACUAUAACAUUGAGUUCAAAUAUAAAACAUAAUCUCAGAAAGGAUCACAGGCUCUCUUAAACUGUUUUUGGGACACAUAUAAGAGGAGAAAAUUGGUUUCUCCAUUUUCUUUAUUAGAUUGCUGUGGGAGACAGCAGAGAAAGCAUCCCAUAUUUCUUUUCAGAUAUUAUAGAGAUUGAGAUAUGGGGUACUCUGAAAAACUGCAAAUAUAUUUUUGGGAGGAUGAUUAGACUUAAUAUGGAUAUUUAAAACCAGCACUAAAUAUGUCAGUGUGAAUGAAAAUAGAAUAAUUGUUUCUAACUUAAACUGAUAUAAGAAAAGGGAUUUACAUUUCUUUCUUUUUCCCCCCCUUUAUUUUUGGAAGAAAGGAAAGAAAAUCUAAGUUUACAUUACAAAAGGGGUGGUGAGGGUUUCCUUGUUUGCUCUCCAGAGUUUUCUUAAGCCUGACAUUUUAUAUCAAUAAGUCAAAUAGAAGCAGGAUAGCUCUGGAUCAAAAAUGAGAAACCAGACACAUGUGGAAUUGGUGAGGCAAUUAAUACCACUUUCCUACAUGUUUCAAAGGAAAUGUGUUGUGUCCUGUGCAGAAGUGUUUGUUUUGACUUGAACAAUCACCAGCUACCUCACAGCUUCUUUACAUUGUUUCAGUAGGGAGAAAAAUCACAAAGUCUUUGUCUACAAUACUCAUAAAAAACCAAAUUUAACAAGGACCAAAGGGCUCCAGUUCAAGCAGGCAGCACUCCGAAAUGUCCCACCCUUACUAUUAGGAUGUGCUUUCACACACAUGCAUUUUGGCAGCAGCCAGCAGAAGGGGUCCCACCCCUGUCAUCCCUCUCUCCCAGUCCCGUGCUGUCCUUCACCAUCACUGGUAGGAUUAUUUUGCUGGCUGUGCAAUGAGCUUGCUCAAAGGACAGAUCUGAAUUAAGGAUUACUCAGAAAAAAUACAAAUACUGAGCAGAAAGAAAAAAGGUGUUUUUCAGCCUGGCUGACUGAGUAAGCAGAAGUGGGUGCAGUGACAGACCCACAGAGCACCAUGUUUGGGGAUGCUCACAUCCCCAGGAGUGAGGGUGGCAGCAGCUGUGAGCUGCUUAUGCCAGUGCAUGUGAAACCACAGCCUCACAGUGCAAGAAUCCACUGCUGAGGAAUGGGAAAGAGUGAGGGGAGAGCUGGUAGCUCACUUCUCCCACUCUGACAUUUCUCAACGUGAAAGAACACCAUAUUGGCUCAGGAGAGCUGAAAAAAAGGCGCUGUGUGAGAAUGGAAACGAGGGUAGCAUCAACACCAAGCAUUCAGAAAUCCAGAGUCAGGCCUGCAUAAGUCACGAGAUCUUUGAAAAUAAGAUAUGUGGUAUUCUUUUUGUUCCUUUCCCCAGUCUUAGACUUUAGGAUGCAUAGAUAUUGAAUGUACACGUUCUUAGACUUUUCAAAGACAGAUUCUUUCUUUGAUACAGCCAUAAACUGAAAUUCUCAUGUCAUUCAGAAAAUAUACCCCGCUUAUCCUGGUGAUUGUUCAUCUACCUGGUACAUCUACUUAGCAUGUCUGACACUUGUGUGUCAGAAAAAUGAAGCUGGAAGAUAACUCAAUCAACAAUUUCAAGUCUACCUGAGGCUGGCCAUGAUUCCUCACUGCCAGCCCCAGGCAAGCCACGUGGUCCCCAGGCUGCAGGCACCUGCAGGCACCGGUCACCAGCAAGCAAGCUCCUCUGUCACCCAUCCGCUGGUGCGCCACACACACUGGUUUGGGUCACAUCCUGCUAUGGAGCCUGCCAAGCAGGCCAUCCUCAGGAAAUAUUGCUUCUCCCGACUCUGCUGAUUCAAUUUCACAAACCUUCUGAAGACCAAAAUUGUUCUGUGAACUAAUAGGAAUUUCUGAUCGUGUAUAUCUCCUCUUGGCUUUAUGGCUGAUCAGAGUAUGCCCGUAUGUAUUACUUAUUAUGCUGUUGAAGCACUUUGACAGAGUUGGAAAAUUGGCUAUUUGCGGAUGGUUCUCGCUCUGCACAGCUGACGGUCCAAGAGAAAUCACAAGAAUGAUUGCAUAGGGGAAAACCUGCAAUUCAGCACACACAUAUCUGCCAAAACAUACACACAGAUCUAUAUCCUGGAUAGGACAUAUCCUGUGAUACGCAGCUUUUUAUUACCCUGACUGAAGCGUCAAAUUUCUUUCUUCCCUCCCCUUCUCUCCUGUGUGUCCUUGCACAGCACAUCUCAUGCUAGCCUAUCCAAAAGCUUAUUACUAAAAGAAAACAAAUACUGAUUUCAGGUAGAUGAAUACUUGAUUCCCAGCCAAAAUAACUUUGCCUUGUGCAAUACUCCUACUUUUCCUUGUGAGUAAUUAUAUGUACCUGUUCACAAUGGGCUAAGCAGCCAAGGCCCCCCCCUAUGCAGGAUCCGUCCACGUCAGUGCAGACAGAGUUGAUGCGUUUUAACACAAAGAUAGCAGCCAAUAAAAGGACUUAUGAGUUAGGUUUUAUUUUUAUUUCUUCAGCAUAUUGAAAGACACAAUUCUAGCUGGUCUCCACAAGUGAAAUUAUUAACAAUCUUUAACACCAGAUGUAAUCACACAGUAAAGCUGGUCCAUUUUUCAACCAGCCAUAAAGCAAGGUUAGCGGCUGGCAGUUCUGGGCAGCUAGGAAAGGUGCACAACAGGCUGAGGCACCGUGCAUCAAACCAGCUUGCCUUCCUCUGCCAAAAAGCUGCCGGGGAGCUAUGGAUUCAGGGCUCUGUGCCUUGUGCUGCUCUGAUGGAUGUAUUUAUUUUCUGGAAGUGUUAAAAGCAUGGCCAGAUUCACUCACCCUGACCUCACUGGUUUAUCUUUGUCAUGAAUAUUUCAGACCUCUGAAACCACUCUAAGCAGGUUAGCAGAUCUGACCUUUGGCUGGGCAGUGCCAUAGCCAUAACCUUCUCCACACACCCCUCCAGCAGGAAGGACCCCCACAAGCCUUGUCUGCCACCAUUCAGGCACUUUGCUGCAGGUGUUGGCAGUCAUGCCGCCCUGCCUGCAGCAGGGAGCCCACCUCAAGCUCAUCCAAUAACCACUUCAACCCAUCAUGACACCUGCAAGCACCAAGGCCAGUCAGGUUACCUGUUAGCUGACACGAGCCACCACCGCCGCCUCAUCUCCGUGCCCUGCACCAUUGCCACUUGCCUUAGGCUUGCAGGGCAUGAUCUCUGGGAGAGAAAUCGCCUUUUUGUUCCGAGCUCGUAUAGUGGCUAGUACUGAAAUGGAUUCUUUUCACCUGGAAAUCUGUUGCUUUGAUAGUUAUAAAGAGUUGGAAAUGAAACUCAUGGCGGGAAAUCUUAGCUAUAACACUGAUGCAAACAAUAACAGUAAAAUGAAACCUUCCACAUAUAGCAAUAUAUAAAGUAAGGUUGUGUAUGGGUGUGUGUGUCUGAGCCAUAUUUCAAACAUGAGGAGGAUGCUACUUGGCAUUGUAUCAAUGGCAGGUCUACUGGUGAUUCUCUUCCAAGAUCUUUGUUUUGGAGGACAUUCAACUUAAAACCUACUGUGAUAAGUCCAAGUAGUUAUCAUUCCACAGUACGAUUGCGUGAUAUAAUUCUUUAAAACUUAAAAAAUUAAUUUUAGAAUAUUUUAUAUAGUAGGAAAACCUGCAGUUUAGAAACAAAAAUCCACUGUGUGUGCAGCAUUUUCAAUAUCUGUUCACAUUUUGCUUCUCUUACCAAUUGACAUGUGUGCAAAUGCAAAGUCUUUCCCUAAAUCAACACUAUAUUAGCAGACCAGUAGCCUGUGCAGAAGCAUUGCCAAACAUGUUACAUGGAACUUUUCCAGUGUUUCAAUUUAAUUAUACUAUUUCUGUGUGUAUAAAUUUAAAUUUAGCAAAUCACCUCAUGGCAACGUAGAACUCUACAGUCAGUACUUCAGGGAAUACUCGGUGUUACUGUCUUCAGUUAAAGAGCUUUAAUUACAUUCAUUCCAGUGCUGGCUAAUCUGGAGGUUAUUCUACUUUUCCAAGGAAAGUAUCAUACUUGGCUACUUAAAACAGAAAAAACACAGGCUAUGCAGCAUGCCCAAUGAGUUAAGAAACUCAGGCUCUGGCAGAGAAGAAGGGAGAGCAUGUUCACCAGUACAGAUCCUAAGCAGAAAACACACUGCCUGCAGCUUGCUUGCGUUUAGGGCUCAAUCUUUGCACAGCGUUAAAAACAAACACUGAUUUCAGUGCCGUAGUGGCAGACUCAGCUACCAAAGAGCUGAAAUGCUUUUCUGAUUUCAUUUGUUGUGGCAUAUGUUCUAGGAGAGGGUGGGGGGAGCAAGUUAUCAAAUCGUAAUUAAUAAUAAACUUGUAGGUAUUUUAAUGUAUUCUCUCUGUACAUGUCAACUGUCAGGUCCAAAGCGGCUCUAGAAUCAGUACCAAUGAAAAAAUGCAGACUAAAAUAGCCAUAUAUUAGGUUCUCUGACUGCUCCAAAUGACAGGAGUACUAACCCUUGCCUGUACGACUUCAUUUCUUUUUAAUAUUUUAUAAAAAUGGAAAUCCUCUAGCAGGAGAAUGAAGACAACAUCAUGAAAACAGGAAUAAGGUUGUCUAUUAAGAUGCAAAGACAAAUGCAAACUGUUUGCUUCAUUUUCUUUUCUUUGAGUUACAAAUUUCUUGCUGUCAUGAAAAAUCUUUUCAUCUUCCUUGAAACUCAUCACUACGGCACUCGGUUGACAAAUAUAUUCAUCACAGUAGUGUAUUUCCCAGAGAUUCCUGUCUUCUGCCUCAAGCAUUUUAUUCCUUUAGAUGAUAAAAGUACUUAUCUGAGAAGAGUUUACAUACAUAUCUGAGUGGCUGUAGGCUCACAUACACCAUCAAAGUAUUCAAAAAAAAACUACUUCAAGAAAAAAAACCCCACAUCUUUAAAGACAGAUAUUCUUAAUGGCAGAGUCUUUAUCCCACUAUGGAUGUACAGUGAUCACCCUUCCACUACAUUUGGAUCAUGACAUGCUCUCUGCUGUAGCAAUUAAGGAGCCUGUAAGUGUAUUUUAUGAAUUUACAAGUUUUAUCUGAGGUUCUCAACGUGUGGCAAUGCAGCUAAAUUACUACAUUCGUAUGUGUAAUAGCCAUUUGGCAGCAGGCAAUAAAGUAUUACUAGGUGAGAAUACAUGGGUCUAUAUGUCGUAUUUUGGUUUAUAUUGCAGUUUGGAAGGCAAUAGGAGCAGACAAAGUUGACCAUUACUGCAGCAACUGUGGU